rnacentral:rRNA from 1 species
AGGCUGCAACUCGCCUGCAUGAAGCUGGAAUUGCUAGUAAUCGCGGAUCAGCAUGCCGCGGUGAAUACGUUCCCGGGCCUUGUACACACCGCCCGUCACACCAUGAGAGUCGGGAACACCCGAAGUCCGUAGUCUAACCGCAUGGAGGGCGCGGCCGAAGGUGGGUCCGGUAAUUGGGGUGAAGUCGUAACAAGGUAGC